GACGAACGCUGGCGGCGUGCUUAACACAUGCAAGUCGAACGAGGUGGCGAACGGGUGAGUAACGCGUAAUCAACCUGCUCUUCAGAGGGGGACAACAGUUGGAAACGACUGCUCAUACCGCAUACUGAAGGAGGGGAUUGCGUGUGAUUAGCUAGUUGGGGGGGUAAGGGCCCACCAAGGCGAUGAUCAGUAGCCCGUCUGGGAGGAUGAACGGCCACAAUGGGACUGUGAAACGGCCCAGAAUCCUACGGGGAGCAGGCAUGGGGAAACUUUCGCAAUGGACGAAAGUCUUGCGGGGCCACGCCGCGUGAGUGAUGACGGCUUUCCGGUUGUAAAGCUCUGUUAAUCGGGACGCGGUACCUGACUAGAAAGCCACGGCUAACUACGUGCCAGCAGCCGCGGUAAUAC
rnacentral:rRNA from 1 species